CUUUAAAGAAAGCGUAAUAGCUCACUGGUCUAGUGAUUUUGCGCGGAAAAUAUAACGGGGCUAAAGUAAGUACCGAAGCUGUAGACUUGCGCACAACUUAGAUUAUUUAAGUUUAGAAUAUGAGAAACUAAGUUAUAUGUUUAGUUAUAUUUUUACUGAUUUUUAUAGAGUAAAGAUAGAAAUAAAACUUAGUAAAAUCAGUAAAAAUAUUCUUAGACUAAAGUUAAGUAGUUUAAGUUGUGUGCAAGUGGUAGGAGAGCGUUCUAUUUGCGCCGAAGGUAUACCGGUAAGGAGUGCUGGAGCGAAUAGAAGUGAGCAUGCAGGCAUGAGUAGCGAUAAUUAAUGUGAGAAUCAUUAACGCCGUAAACCCAAGGUUUCCUACGCGAUGCUCGUCAUCGUAGGGUUAGUCGGGUCCUAAGUCGAGUCCGAAAGGGGUAGACGAUGGCAAAUUGGUUAAUAUUCCAAUACCAACAUUAGUGUGCGAUGGAAGGACGCUUAGGGCUAAGGGGGCUAGCGGAUGGAAGUGCUAGUCUAAGGUCGUAGGAGGUUAUACAGGCAAAUCCGUAUAACAAUACUCCGAGAACUGAAAGGCUUUUUGAAGUCUUCGGAUGGAUAGAAGAACCCCUGAUGCCGUCGAGCCAAGAAAAGUUUCUAAGUUUAGCUAAUGUUGCCCGUACCGUAAACCGACACAGGUGGGUGGGAUGAGUAUUCUAAGGCGCGUGGAAGAACUCUCUUUAAGGAACUCUGCAAAAUAGCACCGUAUCUUCGGUAUAAGGUGUGGUUCGCUUCGUAUUAGGAUUUACUCCGAAAGCGAAGAAACUUACAACAAAGAGUCCCUCCCGACUGUUUACCAAAAACACAGCACUCUGCUAACUCGUAAGAGGAUGUAUAGGGUGUGACGCCUGCCCGGUGCUCGAAGGUUAAUUGAUGGGGUUAGCAUUAGCGAAGCUCUUGAUCGAAGCCCGAGUAAACGGCGGCCGUAACUAUAACGGUCCUAAGGUAGCGAAAUUCCUUGUCGGUUAAAUACCGACCUGCAUGAAUGGCGUAACGAGAUGGGAGCUGUCUCAAAGAGGGAUCCAGUGAAAUUGUAGUGGAGGUGAAAAUUCCUCCUACCCGCGGCAAGACGGAAAGACCCCGUGGACCUUUACUACAGCUUGACACUGCUAUUUGGAUAAGAAUGUGCAGGAUAGGUGGGAGGCUUUGAGUAUAUGACGCCAGUUGUAUAUGAGCCAUUGUUGAGAUACCACUCUUUCUUAUUUGGGUAGCUAACCAGCUUGAGUUAUCCUCAAGUGGGACAAUGUCUGGUGGGUAGUUUGACUGGGGCGGUCGCCUCCCAAAUAAUAACGGAGGCUUACAAAGGUUGGCUCAGAACGGUUGGAAAUCGUUCGUAGAGUAUAAAGGUAUAAGCCAGCUUAACUGCAAGACAUACAAGUCAAGCAGAGACGAAAGUCGGUCUUAGUGAUCCGGUGGUUCUGUGUGGAAGGGCCAUCGCUCAAAGGAUAAAAGGUACCCCGGGGAUAACAGGCUGAUCUCCCCCAAGAGCUCACAUCGACGGGGAGGUUUGGCACCUCGAUGUCGGCUCAUCGCAUCCUGGGGCUGGAGCAAGUCCCAAGGGUAUGGCUGUUCGCCAUUUAAAGCGGUACGCGAGCUGGGUUCAGAACGUCGUGAGACAGUUCGGUCCCUAUCUGCCGUGGGCGUAAGAAGAUUGAAGAGAUUUGACCCUAGUACGAGAGGACCGGGUUGAACAAACCACUGGUGUAGCUGUUGUUCUGCCAAGAGCAUCGCAGCGUAGCUAAGUUUGGAAAGGAUAAACGCUGAAAGCAUCUAAGCGUGAAGCCAACUCUAAGAUGAAUCUUCUCUAAGCUCUCUAGAAGACUACUAGUUUGAUAGGCUGGGUGUGUAAUGGAUGAAAGUCCUUUAGCUGACCAGUACUAAUAGAGCGUUUGGCUUAUCU
rnacentral:rRNA from 1 species